rnacentral:lncRNA from 1 species
GACGACACGUUGCCAGGGCGACGGCAGCAAUACAGAGCCUGCAGAGUGUAAUCAGGGGUCAGGCUAACGAGGGAGUCGGGAUGUGCGUGGGGGCUGCAGGAAGGGGCAGUGAGCCCCAAUGCUCCCAGCAGCCCACAGCCCGCAAACCAGUACGAGCAAAGGGGAGAACAAGGCACUGCAGCAUCCCUUUGCAACCCCAAGGAGCAAAACUCCUCAUUGUCUGCACAAAGUUGGGGUGCAUAUGCUGCACAUGAGGCUGACCCUGCAAGCAAGGAGAAGGAGCCUGGCCAAACAGCUCAUUGCAUCACACCCUGCCCUUAUACCCAAGAGUUUGAUGGGGGCUUCAGGAACAACAGAAAGGUGUGGAGGAAGGUGAAGAGUGCAAGAAGCAUGACCUCAGAGAAACUCAGCUUUGCAAAUUCAAGUCCAGGCCAGCUUUGGAGGCAUGGCUGCACCCAGCUCUGCACCCCAACCCAGUGGGAAACCCCCCCACCCAGGGGCAGGGGAUGUGCCAUCUCCCAACCCCGAUAUCUUCCAGCCUCUGUUUUCUUCCUGUCCAGUGCUGAUUUCCCUCCCCUAAUUGCCCGGAAAGCUCCUUUCCCUUCCUCUAAUCAGUCUGGAGCAGAUUUUCUCUAGAUAAUUGUUCCAAGACCUGAUCACCCUUCUCAUCACCAGUGUUCCCAUUUCUUCUCUAAACUCACCUGCCAGAGCUGCACUCCUUAAUCUAAUUAUUUCAAGAGUUCUCUAAUUGCUUGUUCUACCAGCACCCAUAUCUGAAAGCACCAGGAGUAUCUGGGGUGGGACCUGGGGCUGAGCUGCAUUCCAAGAAAACAAACCCACUCUGGGAGCCCAGCACUGCCUCUGAAAAGGCAUCUGAAAUGCUUUGGAUGAAGGGUAGCACCCAUAGGUGCUUUACUGCAAUCCAAGGGAUCAUUGCAAGGGCAGCAAUGAACCCUCUUACACUCGGGCUGUGUCUGACCCUUGCUGACACCUGCCUGGAUUGCUGCAGCAAUCGAUGUCCCACAUCCCCGCACCUUUCCGAUGCAGCCAGGACCUCUCCCAUCCCUUCCAUGCACCCUAGCCAACUCCAUCCUCCUCUGGUGACAGGCGGCCCCACUGCUAUCACCCACCCUUAUCCUUUCUCCCAGGCUAAUUGAUCCACUGUUUUGCUUUCUUCUCAAAUUGCUCUCAGCCUCGGAUGCUUCUUUAAUCAAUUCGCAGCCCUAUCGGUCCCAAGAGCCACAGGGGACUUUUCUUUGCAGACACUGCUGUAUAUUUAUUCGCUGGAGGACUUUACCUAAUUGGUGUAGAACCUGAUUUCUUCAUCUUAAUCGCCCUGAGGCCCUGAUUCACUUAUCUAAUCACUCCAAAGCCUGGGCCUUGUGCACCUUUCUGAAGCUCUGGUCCAUCUCCACAGAUCAGUUCUUUGCCCCUGCAGGUGGCUCAGCUCUCUUGACUCCCUAAUCCCUGGGCUGCUUGAUCUCUUGUACUAAUCCAGCCAAGGUUUGGCACCCGCAUUCGUCUGCUCCCCUGACUCAGUGCUGCUAGGGAUCAGCUUCCCUCCUCAUAGAGCUUUCCCCAUUACCUCGUGGCACUGCAGUAGAGCAUGGCCCUGCUGCUCUUUGAGCUCUCUGCC